GUGAUGCUUGCUUUAGUGACACGUAUACUAAAAUUGGACUGAUAUAGACAAGAUAAGCAUGGCCUCUGAUCAAGGAUGGCGUGCAAAUUUGUGAAACAUUCCAAAGAUAC